rnacentral:rRNA from 1 species
AAUGCCGGAUGCUCCAGCUUUUCGCAUGGUUUUUUGGGAAAGCUUUCGCGGUAUGGGAUGGGGUCGCGUCCUAUCAGCUUGACGGCGGGGUAACGGCCCACCGUGGCUUCGACGGGUAGCCGGCCUGAGAGGGCGACCGGCCACAUUGGGACUGAGAUACGGCCCAGACUCCUACGGGAGGCAGCAGUGGGGAAUAUUGCACAAUGGGCGCAAGCCUGAUGCAGCGACGCCGCGUGAGGGAUGGAGGCCUUCGGGUUGUAAACCUCUUUUAUCGGGGAGCAAGCGAGAGUGAGUUUACCCGUUGAAUAAGCACCGGCUAACUACGUGCCAGCAGCCGCGGUAAUACGUAGGGUGCAAGCGUUAUCCGGAAUUAUUGGGCGUAAAGGGCUCGUAGGCGGUUCGUCGCGUCCGGUGUGAAAGUCCAUCGCUUAACGGUGGAUCCGCGCCGGGUACGGGCGGGCUUGAGUGCGGUAGGGGAGACUGGAAUUCCCGGUGUAACGGUGGAAUGUGUAGAUAUCGGGAAGA